UACGUAGGGUGCAAGCGUUGUCCGGAAUUAUUGGGCGUAAAGAGCUCGUAGGCGGUUUGUCGCGUCUGCUGUGAAAACGCGAGGCUCAACCUCGCGCCUGCAGUGGGUACGGGCAGACUAGAGUGCGGUAGGGGAGAUUGGAAUUCCUGGUGUAGCGGUGGAAUGCGCAGAUAUCAGGAGGAACACCUGCGGCGAAGGCGGGUUGCUGGGCUGACACUGACGCUGACAGCGCGAAAGCUAGGGGAGCGAACGGG
rnacentral:rRNA from 1 species